UAGCUAGAAUUGACACAUGAGGA
rnacentral:piRNA from 1 species